rnacentral:rRNA from 1 species
AGAGUUUGAUCCUGGCUCAGGAUGAACGCUAGCGACAGGCUUAACACAUGCAAGUCGAGGGGCAGCGGGAGGAAAGCUUGCUUUUCUUGCCGGCGACCGGCGCACGGGUGAGUAACACGUAUGCAACCUGCCCAUGACAGGGGGAUAAGCGGGAGAAAUUCCGUCUAAUACCGCAUAACACCCCCGGGAGACAUCUCUCGGGAGUCAAAGGAGCGAUCCGGUCAUGGAUGGGCAUGCGGCGCAUUAGUUAGUUGGCGGGGUAACGGCCCACCAAGGCGACGAUGCGUAGGGGUUCUGAGAGGAAGGUCCCCCACACUGGUACUGAGACACGGACCAGACUCCUACGGGAGGCAGCAGUGAGGAAUAUUGGUCAAUGGGCGAGAGCCUGAACCAGCCAAGUCGCGUGAGGGAAGACGGUCCUACGGAUUGUAAACCUCUUUUGUCGGGGAGCAAUAAGGCGUACGUGUACGCAGAUGCGAGUACCCGAAGAAAAAGCAUCGGCUAACUCCGUGCCAGCAGCCGCGGUAAUACGGAGGAUGCGAGCGUUAUCCGGAUUUAUUGGGUUUAAAGGGUGCGCAGGCGGAAAGUGCAAGUCAGCGGUCAAACGACGGGGCUCAACCCCGUCUCGCCGUUGAAACUGUCUUUCU